GCAGGCUGCAACUCGCCUGCAUGAAGUCGGAAUUGCUAGUAAUCGCGGAUCAGCAUGCCGCGGUGAAUACGUUCCCGGGCCUUGUACACACCGCCCGUCACACCAUGAGAGCCGGUAACACCCGAAGUCAGUAGUCUAACCGCAAGGGGACGCUGCCGAAGGUGGGGCUGGUGAUUGGGGUGAAGUCGUAACAAGGUAGC
rnacentral:rRNA from 1 species